rnacentral:tRNA from 2 species
GCACCCGUAGCUCAACUGGAUAGAGUACCUGACUACGAAUCAGGCGGUUAGAAGUUCGAAUCUUCUCGGGUGUA